rnacentral:rRNA from 1 species
AUGCCAGCGGGCAAGGCGCCCGACCCCAACGGAUUCACUUCCGAAUUCCUCUGUGGAUGUUGGCCGAGCAUGAAGGCUGACAUUUGCGAGGCCUUCGACAAGCUCUACGCCAUGAAUGGGCGCGGCUUUCACAAGCUCAACGAGGCCCUCCUCAUCUUACUGCCCAAGAAACCUGACGCCAUCGUGAUUACUGACUACCGGCCUAUCAGUUUGAUCCACAUCAUCGCCAAACUAUUCACCAAGGUGCUCUCAUUGCGCCUCACUCCAAAGAUGAGGGAAAUCGUCUCCUCUAACUGAAGCGCGUUCAUUGUUGGCUGCUGCGUUCAUGACAACUUUCUUCUCAUCCAGCAAACGGCUAGCCUCCUCCACAACAACAAGUCACCACGGGUCCUCCUGGAUCUCGACAUUGCAACGGCCUUCGAUACGGGCUCCUGGCCUUUCCUCCUCGAGACUCUGGCGCACCUUGGCUUUGGUAGGCGCUAGCUUGAGUGGAUCUCCAUCCUCACGUCCACAGCCUCCACCCGCCUCCUCGUCAACCGCAAUCAGGGGCCGUCGGUUGAUCACACAUGUGAACUGCGUUAGGACGAUCCGGUAUCGCCCGUGCUAUUCGCCAUCCUCAUGAACACCCUCAACUCCCUUCUCCAGCACGUAGUGUCUAUCGGCAUGUUGCGGUGGCUCACCGCGAGGCAUGUAGCCUCUAGCAUCUCGCUCUUUGCUGAUGACGUUGUCAUCUUCUGGCACCCCGACUCGCCCGAGCUUGCCAUCAUCCGCAUGCUCUUACAAUUGUUCGGUGAUGCAUCCGGCCUGUGCACUAAUUUUGCCAAGUGCUCGGCAUCACUAAUCCGGUGCACGAACAAGGUGGCCACCAUGAUCGCCUUGGGGCUUUCAUGCGCCGUCAAAGACUUCCCCAUCCCCUACCUUGCUUUGCCACUCACCAUCUGCAAGUGCCACACCUGCAUGCUUUUCCCCCUGGUGGACAAGCUCUGCAAGAAGCUCACCACUUGGAAAGUCUCCUUGCUAUCAUGGGCCGAGCGCCUUGCUCUGGUGUGA